rnacentral:rRNA from 1 species
UACGAAGGGGGCUAGCGUUGCUCGGAAUUACUGGGCGUAAAGCGCACGUAGGCGGAUUGUUAAGUCGGGGGUGAAAUCCUGGAGCUCAACUCCAGAACUGCCUCGAUACUGGCGAUCUCGAGUUCGGGAGAGGUGAGUGGAACUGCGAGUGUAGAGGUGAAAUUCGUAGAUAUCGCAAGAACACCAGUGGCGAAGGCGGCCCACUGGCCCGAUACUGACGCUGAGGUGCGAAAGCGUGGGGAGC